UAAUUCAGGAAACUGAUUUUCAAAAAACAAAAUUCACCUUUUAAACAAAAACCAAAACCACUCCUUAUAGAUUUUCAACAAAAUUGCUAUUAGUUUUUUUUUUCAAUAUUAAAUUUUGCAAGUAUUACUAUUUUCUCCAUUUAACUUUAACAAAAUAUAAUUUUUGUAUACGAGAAAAGUUUUCAUACUUUUACACAUCUCUAUUAUAAUAAUUUGUAACAAUGUAUUUUCUAAAAAUUAUGAUAUAACACACUUAUGCA
rnacentral:lncRNA from 1 species